rnacentral:tRNA from 1 species
GGGCCCUUAGCUCAGUUGGUAGAGCAACUGACUUUUAAUCAGUAGGUCGCUGGUUCGAACCCAGCAGGGCUCA